rnacentral:rRNA from 1 species
CCUACGGGUGGCAGCAGUGAGGAAUAUUGGUCAAUGGCCGGAAGGCUGAACCAGCCAUGCCGCGUGAAGGUCAGUGCCCUAUGGGCGUUAAACUUCUUUUGUGCGGGAGCAAUAAUGGUCACGUGUGGCCAGACGAGAGUACCGUACGAAUAAGCAUCGGCUAACUCCGUGCCAGCAGCCGCGGUAAUACGGGGGAUGCAAGCGUUAUCCGGAUUUAUUGGGUUUAAAGGGUGCGUAGGCGGGGAGGUAAGUCAGCGGUGAAAUGCCCCCGCUCAACGGGGUGAAGUGCCAUGGAGACUGCCUUGCUGGAAUGCGGAUGCGGUAGGAGGAAUGUGUGGUGUAGCGGUGAAAUGCAUAGAUAUCACAAAGAACACCGAUUGCGAAGGCAGCUCACGAAUCCGCGAUUGACGCUGAUGCACGAAAGCGUGGGUAUCAAACAGGAUUAGAUACCCGAGUAGUC